GACGAACGCUGGCGGCGUGCUUAACACAUGCAAGUCGAACGAUGACGACCGAGCUUGCUCGGUCUGAUUAGUGGCGAACGGGUGAGUAACACGUGAGCAACCUGCCCUUCACUCUGGGAUAACCUCGGGAAAUCGGGGCUAAUACCGGAUAUGAGCUCCUGUCGCAUGGCGGGUGUUGGAAAGUUUUUCGGUGAAGGAUGGGCUCGCGGCCUAUCAGUUUGUUGGUGAGGUAGCGGCUCACCAAGGCGAUGACGGGUAGCCGGCCUGAGAGGGCGACCGGCCACACUGGGACUGAGACACGGCCCAGACUCCUACGGGAGGCAGCAGUGGGGAAUAUUGCACAAUGGGCGAAAGCCUGAUGCAGCGACGCCGCGUGAGGGAUGACGGCCUUCGGGUUGUAAACCUCUUUCAGCAGGGAAGAAGCGAAAGUGACGGUACCUGCAGAAGAAGCGCCGGCUAACUACGUG
rnacentral:rRNA from 1 species